rnacentral:rRNA from 1 species
UACGGAGGGUGCGAGCGUUGUCCGGAUUUAUUGGGUUUAAAGGGUGCGCAGGUGGCCCGGUCAGUCAGUGGUGAAAUGCGGCCGCUCAACGGUCGAACUGCCAUUGAUACUGCCGGGCUUGAGGGGGGUGGAGGCCGCCGGAACGGACGGUGUAGCGGUGAAAUGCAUAGAGAUCGGCCAGAACGCCGAUUGCGAAGGCAGGUGGCUGCGCUUCGACUGACACUGAGGCACGAAAGCGUGGGGAGCGAACAGG